rnacentral:rRNA from 1 species
UGAGGAAUAUUGGUCAAUGGUCGAGAGACUGAACCAGCCAAGUCGCGUGAAGGAUGACUGCCCUAUGGGUUGUAAACUUCUUUUACAAGGGAAUAAAAUGAGAUACGUGUAUUUUAUUGCAUGUACCUUGGGAAUAAGCAUCGGCUAACUCCGUGCCAGCAGCCGCGGUAAUACGGAGGAUGCGAGCGUUAUCCGGAUUUAUGGGGUUUAAAGGGUGCGUAGGUGGGCUGUUAAGUCAGCGGUGAAAGUUUGUCGCUUAACGAUAAAAUUGCCGUUGAAACUGGUAGUCUUGAGUGUAGAUGAAGUAGGCGGAAUGCGUGGUGUAGCGGUGAAAUGCAUAGAGAUAACGCAGAACUCCGAUUGCGAAGGCAGCUUACUAAGGUAUAACUGACACUGAAGCACGAAAGCGUGGGUAUCAAACAGG